GUCAAGGUCAACAUAUGUAUAUUUGUUACAGACUUUCCUUUGUCGAGGAAUAAGUCAUUCUAAUGCUCCAGAUUAGAACAAGACGCAUUAAUUGACAAAUUUCAAUCAACUCCAUCGAGUGAUCAUGAAUGUAUAGACUUUCCUUUGUCGAGGAAUAAGUCAUUCUAAUGCUCCAGAUUAGAACAAGACGCAUUAAUUGACAAAUUUCAAUCAACUCCAUCGAAUGAUCAUGAGUGUACAGGCAACUUUCCUUUGUUGGGGAGAAACACAGCGAAAGAAGACAAACGACGUUACGUACACUCGAAGAUUGCGACUACAAUUAUGGGAAUGAAGAAUUCCCAUAAUUCCAUCGUUAUCUUCUUAUUAUGUUUACUUUUACACUCGCUGGAUAGGAUUACUGUUUAUAAACGAUGAAAAACGAGUAGACAAGAUACUCUUUAACGAACCGUGUGGCGAUAUCGCGGGAUGUUUAAGGUCAGCCUACUUAAAACACGACGUGUUUCUAUUUUAAAGCGCAGUCAUAGAAAAUGCCCGAGAAGAUCUCACUCGAAGAUCGAAAUUUGUAAACAUCGGAAAGAACGCUCUGCUCGGUUUACAUCCCGCAUAAAACGCACGGGUACCUUGAAUACCAAUCGCCUUUCGUCUGGAAGAAAGUUUCGCGGAGCUUCCUCAAAAAUCCAGCGAAUCUUGGACAUUUGCAUUUCGGUUGGAUCGAAC